rnacentral:tRNA from 1 species
CGCUCGCUGCUAGAGGACACGCUGGCCGGCUUGUCCCGCCGGGCGGAUCAUGUGGGGCUGCGGCUGGCGCUCCGCGUCGGCGGCGACGGCC